UGAAGACUCACCGCCGUAAUCGCCGCCGCCACCACAGCUGGCUGUGGACAGGUUCAGGUAACUGCUCGACUUCUGACCGGUCGUCAGUUGCCUGAAAAACAGUAAGCUUCAAUAAUUCAGUUUAGAAAUUCAGAAACUACACAUUGACUGAGAAAAGUUAGACAAAUAUUUGUUAUAGUAUUCUGUGAGGCUGCAUUAUCAAUGUGCAUGGCAUUCAUAAUACAGUGCAAUACAAUAUAAUAAUAUUAUUAUAAUUGUUCAAUACACAUAGAAUUUAUUUAUUCUUUAUUAAGAAUUAUAAUCGAAUACAUUCAAUAUACUGAUACAUUUUUAUCAACCAAACAGAACUCGGCAAGCUAAAUAUGAAUGCAACUCAUAUAUGACAAACACGAGAAAAAAAAAUGGAAUAACUGUACAAUUUGAUUUGAUGAUUGUAUUUACAUUGUAAAAACGCACCUAAUAUAAAUAUAAUGAUAAAAAAAACCUUCAGUCAGAAUUGAUUUUUGUAAACGAGUGCAGACGAUGCAUAUUUAAAUACACUCAACUGACAUAUUUAUACAUAUCUACACUCACAUUCACGUCGUCGUACAACCUACCUACUCGAAGCUGUAGCAUGUCUGAUCAAUAUUGUUCACUAGUACUAUGUAGUAUGUACAUUGUAUUGUCUUAGUGGAUUUAAAAAUUGUAAUAAACCUUAUUUGUAUAUAAUAUUAAUUAAUAAA